rnacentral:tRNA from 1 species
GGUCCCGUAGUGUAGCGGUUAUCACGUCGCCCUGUCACGGCGAAGAUCGCGGGUUCGAUUCCCGUCACCC